rnacentral:lncRNA from 10 species
CCCCCGCCCCGCAGGGCCCCCAGGCCGGGCGCUGGGGGCGCACAGGCAUACAGAUUCUCUCUCCUCACCACGCGGCUGCUGCUGGAGGAUGGAGGAGGGGUGGUGUCAGCAAUUCAAGACUGUCUUUCCUACCCUCUUCAGUGCCCUUCCUUGAUAAGCUGUUUAAACCAGGUAUGUAAGGUUCAUGUGGAUAAGGGCUUUGUCUUGUUCAGCAACGUGUCCAUUGCCCUGGAACAGUGCCUACUACCUAGCAGCCAUUCAAACUACUAUCAAUGCCUUUUACAAAAUGAGGUCAUUGGAUUGCAGAGUUGGCUUUCGAGAAGAUUUUGUGGCCUUUCUCAGCUGUCUAGGUGCUGUAGGUGCUGUGUUUCUAUGGCUGCAAGGAUGAAGAGAAACAGAAGAUCAAACUUAAAGUCACAGCAAGUAGGUGGCAGAGUGAAGAGCAGAUCCAGCAGAUUCUCUGAACUCUCGGAUGCUCUCAAGCUGGGCCAGUGGCCAACUGCAGAACGGAGAGUGGCCGAGCAGGGAAGGUCAUAGAAGGCACAGGAUGGGGAAGGACACUGGAGACCAGGUUCCUGUAGGCUUCCAGAGACCACCUGCAUUUGUUGGUUGAUAGCCUCUUCCUCGAAUCACCCUGAUCCUCUGCUUCUGUGGCCACAUUUUCAUCUCUCCAAAUCUGAGUCUUCUGCCUGUCUCCUCUAGGGACCCUUGAGAUGACUUUGGGCCCAUCCAGAUCAUCCAAGAUAAUCUCCCCUUCUCAAGUUUCUUAAUCACUUCGGCAAGGUCUUUUUUGCCACAUAAAGUAAUAUUUGCACUGGGUUCAGGAAUCAGGAUGUGGGCAUCUUUGUGGGGGGAGUCACUAUUCCACCUACCACACAGAGCCCCUUCAACAAGUGAGAUUAGAUGAGAAAAUGUUGGUGAAGCACUGAGCCCAGAGAUAGAGCAUAGUAGGUGUGGAUGCUGGUGAUAGUGAAGGGGUGAAUGGCUGACAAAGACCAGGUGACUAAUUUCACAGCUGCCAGAAAUCAGCCUCCAGGGACACACAAGGAGCUUUGCCACACGCUGAAUCAGAUAAGGCCUCUGACUUUGUUUUGCCCCAGAAGCAGACCUCAAGAAGAGGACUCCAGUGCAAGUAGUUUAUUUAGAAGGCAAGCCCACAAAAAGUGGGAAAGCGAGACAGGCAAGGCAAGGCAAGGAAACCAAUGGAGAAUGCCAUGAAGCUAGUUACCACCAUAGGCAGGUGGAGCUUAAUCCCACUGGGGAAUUGUGGAAAACAGUGUGGAGCUCUGCACCUCAGAGUUAACCUACCUGAGAGGUGACAGGGCUGGGGUAUGGAUGCACCAAUUCCCUUCAGUCUGUUGCAAGUUGUUCCAGGGAGGGGGAGAGUGGAGUUAAUUCACCUACACACCCAUCUGCACACACAUAUAUAAAGCAGGCUCUGCUAUUUACAAUAGCAAAGACUUGGAACCAACCCAAAUGCCCAUCAAUGAUAGACUGGAUAAAGAAAAGGUGGCACAUAUACACCAUGGAAUACUAUGCAGCCAUAAAAAAGAAUGAGUUCAUGUCCUUUGCGGGGACAUGAAUGAAGUUGGAAAUCAUCAUCCUCAGCAAACUAACACAGGAACAUAAAACCAAACACUGCAUGUUCUCACUCAUAAGUGGGAGCUGAACAAUGAUAACACAUGGACAUAGGGAGGGGAAUAUCACACACUGAAGCCUGUCAGGGGGUGGGAGGAAAGGGAAGGGAGAGCAUUAGGACAAAUACCUAAUGCAUGCAGGCCUUAAAACCUAGAUGAUUGGUUGAAAGGUGCAGCAAACCACCAUGGCACAUGUAUACCUAUGUAACAAACCUGCACAUUCAGCACAUGUAUCCCAGAACUUAAAGUAAAAUAAAAUAAGUAAUGAUAGAAAAAAAAUUAAAAAGUAAAGCAGGCUCUGAUGGCCAGAGAAUGCCUACCUGCAAAUAUCCAUAGGUGCUGGCAACUGGAAGUCUGGCUGCGUGCACUGAAAUGGCAAAGAUAGGGGUGCUGCGGCCAGGUACUGGUGGUGUCUGCUACCCCACCUUGAGCCUAUAGUCUUCAUUUCUUGUGGACACUAUCCACAGGCCAAGAUAAUGCAGAAAGAUGAGAAAAUCAAGGAGUCAGCGUCUGCCCAAAGUGAAGGAAAGAGAUGCCAUGCUAGUCUGAAUCUACUGGGACAGCUCUGUAUCUGAGGCCUGGGUGCAAGGCAACUUGGCUGCUGAAUUAGGGAAGAGAUAAAAGAAGAAUAAGAAUGGUCUGUCUUAUUUUUUUAAGUUGUAAGAACAUAUUUAAUGAAAUAAUGAAUAAUGAUAUUUUGGCUCUAAUAUUAUGAAAAUUUAAACUUUGAUUAUGCAUAGCAAAUACUUUUAUUUAUCCAUUUUGUAAGAACAAUUUUUUACAGGUAAAAAUUAUUUUAAUUUUUAACUAUAACAGAACAUUAAAAAUUAUCAAUAAACUUGAAACCUUGGUGAAAUGGAUAAUUUUCUUCUCUUUCUUUCUUUUUUUUUUUUUUUUAAAUGAAAAAGGAGUCUUGCUCUGUUGCCCAGGCUGGAGUGCAGUUGUACAAUCUUGGCUCACUGCAACCUCUGCCUCCCAGGUUCAAGCAAUUCUCCUGCCUCACCUUCCCAAAUAGCUGGGGCUAUAGGCGUGCACCACUACGUCCAGAU